AGGGUCCCGGGGAGUCGCAGGCCGUGCAGGGGCGACACAGAGGUCUGUGUGUUCUCUGGAAGGGCGGGCCAACAAGAAGUCCUUCCUGCUUUGGAACGACCUCUCUCCCAUAGACAGGGUUCUUCCCCGCUGCCAGGAAGAAGUUGGGGUGUCUGGGGUGAGAAAGCAGGGGCAGGGCAUGUUCGUGGGACCAGCAUGGAGGGUCCCAAAGGACGUGGCUUGC